rnacentral:rRNA from 1 species
UUCCGGUGAUCCUGCCGGACCCGACUGCUAUUUGGGUGAGGAUAAGCCAUGCGAGUUGAAUGGGAAACCUAAAGUUCCCAUGGCAAACUGCUCAGUAACACAUGAUCAACUUACCCUAUAGAGAAAAAUAACCUCGGGAAACUGAGGAUAAUGUUUCAUAGUUGAAUUGGCUUGGAAAAGUUUUUCGACGAAAGGGGUAAAAAAAAUGGUUUUUAUCUGCUAUAGGAUAGGAUCGUGUUCGAUUAUGGUUGUUGGUGAGGUAAUGGCUCACCAAGCCGAUAAUCGAUAGGGGCCGUGAGAGCGGGAGCCCCGAGAUGGGUACUGAGACAACGACCCAGGCCUUACGAGGCGCAGCAGGCGCGAAACCUCCGCAAUACACGAAAGUGUGACGGGGUUACCCAAAGUGUUCAAUUUUGAACUGUGGUAGGUGAGUAAUGUUCCCUACUAGAAAGGAGAGGGCAAGGCUGGUGCCAGCCGCCGCGGUAAAACCAGCUCUUCAAGUGGUCGGGAUAAUUAUUGGGCUUAAAGUGUCCGUAGCCGGUUUGGUAAGUUCCUGGUAAAAUCGGGUAGCUUAACUAUCUAUAUGCUAGGAAUACUACUAUACUAGAGGGCGGGAGAGGUCUGAGGUACUACAGGGGUAGGGGUGAAAUCUUAUAAUCCUUGUUGGACCACCAGUGGCGAAGGCGUCAGACUGGAACGCGCCUGACGGUGAGGGACGAAAGCCAGGGGAGCGAACCGAAUUAGAUACCCGGGUAGUCCUGGCCGUAAACGAUGCAUACUAGGUGAUGGCACGGCCAUGAGCCGUGUCAGUGCCGUAGGGAAACCGUUAAGUAUGCCGCCUGGGAAGUACGGUCGCAAGGCUAAACUUAAAGGAAUUGGCGGGGGAGCACCACAAGGGGUGAAGCCUGCGGUUCAAUUGGAUUCAACGCCGGGAAAUCACUAGUGCGGCCGCCUGCA